GAUGAAGAACGUAGCGAAAUGCGAUAAGUAAUGUGAAUUGCAGAAUUCAGUGAAUCAUCGAAUCUUUGAACGCACAUUGCGCCCGCCAGUAUUCUGGCGGGCAUGCCUGUUCGAGCGUCAUUACAACCCUCAGGCCCCCGGGCCUGGCGUUGGGGAUCGGCGGAGCCCCCCGUGGGCACACGCCGUCCCCCAAAUGCAGUGGCGGUCCCGCCGCAGCUUCCAUCGCGUAGUAGCUAACACCUCGCGACUGGAGAGCGGCGCGGCCACGCCGUAAAACACCCACCUCUUCUGAAGUUGACCUCGAAUCAGGUAGGAAUACCCGCUGAACUUAAGCAUAUCAAUAAGCGGAGA
rnacentral:misc_RNA from 1 species